GGACGAAGAGGAGGAGGAGGAGGGCAGGACGCAGGCUGGGCACCAUCCUUAACUCCUUCUGUGCCCAGCUCCCCGGGGCAUGGCCGGCAGCGCUCCCCGCUUCUGCUGGGCUCCUUCUGCCGUCGGGUCUGCAAAAUCCUCGGAGCUUCGCGCCGGGGCUGCAAGGAAGCGGUCACAGCCUCUGACCACAGCACGUGGCAGACAGAUCAAUAAGAGGGCAGCGUCCUUUGAUGGAUUCCCAGCCGAAGCCUCCAUCCAUCUUCGCUGAGCCACUUUCUGCCUCUGAAGCACAGGAGAGAGCAUGGACAAGGUGAACAUCCUGCAUCUGCUGGACCAAGGUCUCCAGGAUGGCUGCUUUUUGGGGCUCUUUGUGUGAGUUACGCCACCGCAGCAUUCCUCUGUUGUCUCCUGUCACCCUGCAGCCAUCCUCCCAGCCCCCUUGGGACUGCUCUGUGCACCCAUUCAGCAUGACAUGGCCAACAGGGACAAGACCAGAGCAGGUCCCUGCCCUUGGGGAACCUGGCACACGUGUCCCCACUUCCCCCUUGGGGCACUGGUAGCAGUGAUGGCCACGGGUACUUGAUACUUCUAACUGGGACGUCUGCAGGCAAAAAGCAAUCCCCAGAGUCAUGGACAUAGAGGUCAAGCUGGUAGAAGAGUGGAAUUUGGCUUUUCAUCUGAAAACACAGCCAAGAUUGGAAAUGGGCCUCAGUUUCCCUUCUGGUUGGUUGGGGCUGUUCCUUUCCUGUGACAAUGAGGAAAGCAGAGGGUGGUUUUUAGUGUGGUGUUCGGUGUAGGAAGUGCUGUCACAGUGCGGAACUGCUUUAAAAUCCAGUUUCAGGCUCUUUCUCCAAGCUUUGACCGUUUUUCCUCCUUCUGGACCUGCAGAGAAGGGAAGAUGUUCUCUAAUUCUAUCUGCAAAAAAAAAAAGUGGUUGCUGGGCCCAGGUGUUCCACAUACCGAGACAUUGUACAACUGUGCUCCAAAUUUUGGCCAGUCUUGUUGUAUUUAACUGUUCCAUAUAGCCUGCUUUGUCCCUGCAAGCCUUACAGGGCAAAGCUUAAUCCAAAGACCUGCUGAAUACAUUGUGGGGAGGGAGGCUGAAGGCUCCUUGCUCAACCCACAACCACUUGUAAUGGUUAAUGACUUAGAGCUGUGCUGGCAGAAAGGUUCGUUGGUCUUGAAGACCCUGAGAAAGGCUUGGGUGGCCUUCAGACACUUCAGACCCCUGCUCAUCCCGUCAAACUCUACCAGAGAGGCUGGAGUUGUCAAUGCAGUCAUGCAGGGAGAGAAACCAGCGUACUCCCAGGAGAAGGAAAAGCCAGCCAGGACACACUUUGUGCUGAGUCUUGCUCUGACUCACUGCUCCAUGCAGCAAACGACCAAUUCCUUCAGUGCAUGGAUAAUUCCCUCCCAUGCUUUCUUUUCCCUCUCCCAGAUUGUGUGCAUCAGUACAUCAUGUUAACAAAAACGCU